UACGAAAGGGGCUAGCGUUGUUCGGAAUCACUGGGCGUAAAGCGCACGUAGGCGGAUCUUUAAGUCAGAGGUGAAAUCCCAAGGCUCAACCUUGGAACUGCCUUUGAUACUGGGGAUCUUGAGUCCGGGAGAGGUGAGUGGAACUGCGAGUGUAGAGGUGAAAUUCGUAGAUAUUCGCAAGAACACCAGUGGCGAAGGCGGCUCACUGGCCCGGUACUGACGCUGAGGCACGAAAGCGUGGGGAGCAAACAGG
rnacentral:rRNA from 1 species